rnacentral:tRNA from 12 species
GGGUCGUUAGCUCAGCUGGUAGAGCAGCGGACUUUUAAUCCGUUGGUCAUAGGUUCAAAUCCUAUACGACCCACCA